CGCCAGCAGGCGGGCGAGGGGGCCCACGCCGCCCCCUCCCCGGCCUCCCCUCCUUCCGCAGCCACCUCCCCCAACCCGCCACCAGGGGGCCCCCCGCUUCCAUCUGCCUCUCCCCUAGCUUCAAGAAAUUACUAGAAAGU